rnacentral:rRNA from 1 species
GACGAACCGUGCGAACGUUAUUCGGAAUCACUGGGCUUAAAGCGCGUGUAGGCGGGCCGGCACGUCCGUGGCUGAAAGCCCCCGGCUCAACCGGGGAAGUGGCGCGGAUACGACCGGCCUGGAGGGGGGUAGGGGGACCUGGAACUUCCGGUGGAGCGGUGAAAUGCGUUGAGAUCGGGAGGAACACCUGUGGCGAAGGCGGCCGGCUGGGGGUACCCUGACGCUGAGGCGCGACAGCGUGGGGAGCGAACCGG